rnacentral:rRNA from 1 species
UACGGGGGGAGCAAGCGUUGUUCGGAUUUACUGGGCGUAAAGGGCGCGUAGGCGGCCAGCACAAGUCAGUUGUGAAAUCUCCGAGCUUAACUCGGAAAGGUCAACUGAUACUGUGCGGCUAGAGUGCGGAAGGGGCAACUGGAAUUCUUGGUGUAGCGGUGAAAUGCGUAGAUAUUGGGAAGAACACCUGAGGCGAAGGCGGGUUGCUGGGCUGACACUGACGCUGAGGCGCGAAAGCCAGGGGAGCGAACGGG